UACUUUGCCAGCUAAUUAGCGGUGGCCAGUGUCAUUUUUGUGAUGUUGCAGCUAGUAAUAUGAGCCCAGUUGCAUAGUCACAAAAGUGAUCAUUGGAAACUGUGUCUGUGCUGCAGGGACA
rnacentral:pre_miRNA from 14 species